GAAAUAUACAAAAAGCAUAUUAAGAUGACCUACAAAGUAUAUAAAGUGUAACUAAUCAACCAAAUUGUAUCUGAUUAUGUUUACUUCGAGCUAAAGCGGUUUAUUUCAAUGUAAACAUAAAAGAGUCACUUCUCAGAAGUAUUUUUAGGGCUUCAAAAAUUCAUCUGCACAAUCUAUUGUCUAUGCAUAAAAGGAGGGAAGUAAGGCAACUUGAUCCGAGAUAUUCUUACUGUGCUUGUAGAUGCUUCAUUUUUCAAACGGAUCAUGAUAUAGCAGAGUCGACGUGAAACAUAAGCAGCCAUUGUUGAAUUAUAUCAGCUGAAUGAGCUACGUAAUUGAAGCUACAAGAACACCACUGAUCCUUCACUUCUUUUGUCAUUGCUCUUUCUGUAGCCAUCCGAGCUUCCAAGCAUACAUCCCCAGA
rnacentral:misc_RNA from 1 species